rnacentral:rRNA from 1 species
CCUACGAGAGGCAGCAGUGGGGAAUAUUGCACAAUGGGGGAAACCCUGAUGCAGCAACGCCGCGUGAGUGAAGAAGUAUUUCGGUAUGUAAAGCUCUAUCAGCAGGGAAGAAGAAAGACGGUACCUGACUAAGAAGCCCCGGCUAACUACGUGCCAGCAGCCGCGGUAAUACGUAGGGGGCAAGCGUUAUCCGGAUUUACUGGGUGUAAAGGGAGCGUAGACGGCUGUGCAAGUCUGAAGUGAAAGCCCGUGGCUCAACCGCGGAACUGCUUUGGAAACUGUAUAGCUUGAGUACUGGAGAGGCAGGCGGAAUUCCUAGUGUAGCGGUGAAAUGCGUAGAUAUUAGGAAGAACACCAGUGGCGAAGGCGACUUUCUGGACUGUACCUGACGCUGAGGCGCGAAAGCGUGGGUAGCGAACGGGAUUAGAUACCCGUGUAGUC